AGAACGAACGCUGGCGGCGUGCUUAACGCAUGCAAGUCGAGUGCGCGUGCCGUAGCAAUACGGCAUGGCGCACGGCGCACGGGUGCGUAACACGUGGGCAAUCUGCCCUUCGAUGGGGAAUAACCUCGCGAAAGCGAGGCUAAUUCCGCAUGACAUUCCUUGGACCCUGGUUCGAGGACUCAAAGCCGUAAGGCGUCGAAGGAGGAGCCCGCGCCCGAUUAGCUAGUUGGCGAGGUAACGGCUCACCAAGGCAAUGAUCGGUAGC
rnacentral:rRNA from 1 species